GAUGAACGCUGGCGGCGUGCUUAACACAUGCAAGUCGAACGGAAAGGCCCAAGCUUGCUUGGGUACUCGAGUGGCGAACGGGUGAGUAACACGUGGGUGAUCUGCCCUGCACUUCGGGAUAAGCCUGGGAAACUGGGUCUAAUACCGGAUAGGACCACUUCUUGGAUGUUGUGGUGGAAAGUUUUUUCGGUGUGGGAUGAGCUCGCGGCCUAUCAGCUUGUUGGUGGGGUAAUGGCCUACCAAGGCGUCGACGGGUAGCCGGCCUGAGAGGGUGUACGGCGACAUUGGGACUGAGAGACGGCCCAGACUCCUACGGGAGGCAGCAGUGGGGAAUAUUGCACAAUGAGCGCAAGCCUGAUGCAGCGACGCCGCGUGGGGGAUGACGGCCUUCGGGUUGUAAACUCCUUUCGCUAGGGACGAAGCGUUUUGUGACGGUACCUGGAGAAGAAGCAUCGGCUAACUACGUG
rnacentral:rRNA from 1 species